GCUCCUCGAGUGUCUGCAGGAGGGGGAGGCAGCCCACGGGACCUACGAGGGCCACCAGCGCUUCUGCUCCCGGCGCAGUACGGGCCGCGGUUUUUCCUGCGAGACGCCCGCCGCCCGAGGAGUUCCAGACGCACCAAGCAAACGGGCCCCAAAACCGUUAGCCGAGGCGGGCAGGGGUGGGAUAACAAAGAACAAGGCGGCUGUAGAGUCCUUAAAUUUUUUUGUGAAAACCUUUGUUCUUGUAAUAAUAGGG
rnacentral:lncRNA from 1 species